AUGAGGAAACUGUGGCCCAGGGAGAUUUUAAGUGUUGCCCAAGAUCACCCACGGUAGUAAGGUGCAGAGGAAAGAUUUGAACUCUGAUCUCCCGAUUACCAAACCAGGAGUUGAACCCAGUCCCAACGGGAUUGCCUGGUGUUCAGAGCUGGGCACUUGGAAGCGUACCGCGCGCUAUCUCGCAGACCUGACCAGGAGAAUUCGGUGCCCCAAAGAAGGUUGCCUCCCAGAUCGAAGUUGGAGGGCCCAGCUCAAUUUUAUCUCCGCCUACCGCACCUACUCCGGGGUCGGGCGCCAGCUGAGGAGGACAAGGACAAAAGCUGCAGACUAGCCAGCACACACCUUUUCCUCACUUUCCCACCCUCCGCUCCCUGUGAACUCUGUUAAUUCAGUGAAAGUGUAAUCUGCAGUAGGAAGUUCUGGAACUGCUCUGGGACUUUGGAGUUAUGCCCCCUCUCCUGUGUUUGCCUAUGCCCCAAAUGCCCUCCUAUUUACUUUCUCCGGCUCUUUAGCAACAUUGCUAGGGGUGGCACUCCAAGGUCGAUUAGAAAAGUCCUCUUGUGAUUGAAGCCAGCAUUAUCCAUCUUGGGCUUUGCAAAAACUGAAACCCCGCCCCCCACAAUGUCUCAUCUUGCAGCACUGAGCUGUUGUACCACGUAUAAUCCCUAAAAAUAAAAUUAACUUCUCAAAAGUGGCAAAAGCCUGAGAGGGGAAAAAGGACUGUCAAACCCUGGAAUAUGUUAUUUGAGAAAUACUGGAAAUUUUUAAAAGAAGGAGAAUUUUUGUGCUCAUGACUAUCAACAGGUAGUUUUCUGGAACUGCACUGGUCCCAGAGGCCUGAAGAACUAGAUCUUACAUACAAGAAAGCUGAGACCCAGAGAGUUUAAGUGACCAAGUAUUCUCUCUGGAUCUAAGAACGUUUUUGGUUUCUAGCUUUUAUUUUAAAGAUUGCUAGAAAUUAGGUGACAUACAGAUGAAAAAUCCUUUGUUCUAUUUGUGUAGGACAAACAUUUAAGGUGUACUGAAGUGAGGGAGGACUAGAUGUGGUAGUUCCCAACCUGUGGGAUGCUAUUACUUUAAAGGGUUUUAUCUCAUUAAAUGACUCCUCAAUAUAAUAAAUAAGCAUGGUUUUUAUAGACUGAAUAAUGUCACAUUUGGAUUCCCAUUUUCAGAUGUAUGUAGAUGUGAUUAAUAAAACACAAGUUCACUUAAAAA